rnacentral:misc_RNA from 1 species
GUCUGGUCCUGCCCCGCCGCAGCGGCAUUGCCGAGCAUGGCGUCCCAGCUGUCGCCGCCGCCGACCCCCAUGUCGAGGCCGGUGGGAAUCGGUGGCAGCUCACAGCCGCCAGCCCAGUCCUCCUUCCCGCCGCCGCCGUGCUCGCCGGGGGCUCCCCAUUUGGUGGCUUCGGCGGCGGCGCUGCUGUCCGAAGCCACCGCCAUGCCGGUCGAGUCCGCAGCGCCGCCACCCACGGACGACGACAACGUCGAUGUUGAGUUGUUGGGGCUGAGGCUCCGCGUGCAGUCCAGCACGGACCUCGGCUCCAACAGCACCUUCGCCUUCCCCUCCGGCCAGAACAGCGUCUUCCCGUCUCCGACGAGGUCCGCAGCCCCGUUCCGCUCGGCACCGAACAGCGCCGCCCUCAUCUACCUAAUCCCACA